GUUCAGCACAUCCCUGUGGCUGCCCAGAGCUGAGUGGGAAUGGCAGGACGAGCACACGGAGAUGGUGUCCGUGCCUGGAAAACUAGGGCAGCACGUCCUGAGUGCCUUGGUGGAGGGUGAGGGUGGAGGGAGGGAUCCAGACUGUGAGGAUUGGGGUGUCCAUGGGCUCCUGGGUGUGGUGAAGAUCCUGCUUCUUCCCAUGGGACAGGAGGGGACAGGGAGAGUGAGGAUGAAGGGAAGAAUCCAGGAAGGAUCCAUGAAUUCCUGGAAUCUGACUGCAGCUCCUGCUUCCUCUCGUGCCCCAGGAGGCACAUCCAUCCUGGCUCUGGUCUCCAGCCCUCAGCAGAAUCCAGGGAUCCCUCCAGGAAUCCUGGAGCUCUCCUGAAAAGCUGUCCCACCACAGCCCACAAGGAAUGUCCUGUCCUGGAGUCACAGGAAAAGCUCCUGGAGCAAAGCCAGCCCUGGUGAGAACCACGGUGGGAGAAAACCCUCUGCCUCAGGAUUUUACAUGGAAUUUGACCAUAGAAUAAUUCUCUUUUUUCCUCCCUGCUCAUGGACAGGCUGGCACUUGCUGUCUGCAGGACAAAAAUGAAAUUAAAAUGUCUCUACAAGGUGGAGCAGUGUCCAUCCUUUGUCACCCUUCCACGUGUGUGAGUGCCAGGGAAAGCAGGAGCCAGCUGGGGCUGGAGGAGGGAUCCUGAGAUCCGGAUCUGUCUCAGAACAGAAAUUAAAUGUUUUCUCUCCCUUUUUAGUGUGCCUGAUGUCUUUUUUAGGGCUCUCACGGGAGGCAGGGAGAGCGCAGGGAUGUGGGCAGAACAAAGCUCUGGCUAAAGGUGGGGGAAAGGAAUUCCAGGUGGGAAAAGCCAGGGGUGGUGACACAGGGAGCUGUGCUGGGUGGGGACACCCGGGCUCGGAGCAAAGCUGGGUUAUAAAAAGUGGGAAGAGAAAACGGGGAUGCAGCAGUGGAUGAGGGUUGGGAACAGGACAGAGCCGGUGUCACCCAGGCCAGGCUGUGCUGGGGACAAGGAUUUGGGCUGGGGUGUCCUGCAGGUACCCCAGUGGGAAGGUGAAGGAUCAGGAUUGACCUUUCCUGGCUGGGAGGAGAAUUUCUGCUCUGCUCCUGUGACAAGGAAAGCUCUCCCUGAGCGCUCGGGGGCUUUGUUCCCUCAGCCCGUGUUCCCUGGCUGGGCUGCAAGCUGGGAUUGGAGCCACUGGAGAGGGAUCUGCUUGGGAUGAAGGUGCUGAGCUCCCCUCUGCUGCCUGAGGAUCCAGCCCUGAGCACAGCCUGCAUUUCCCAGAACUCCAGAAGGAGAAACUGGGAGAAUCUCUCCCUUUCCCAGCACUUCACAGCUCGCAGAAGUUGUUGGUGCUGCUUCCCCCGAGACAGGAAGGCAAAAAGGAGCCCUGGAUUCCUCUGGUGAGAAGGAACCAAGGAAGGAAAGGAAGGAAAUGAAAUCAUCCUCCUCCACAAGGCACCAGAAUGCCAAAAUCAGCCUGGAUCCAGCUCAAAAACACCCCCAGAGCGUUUGGGGGUUCGGUAUCAGGAACCCACUCAUGGCGUGGGGGCUCAUGUGCUAACACUGCUGAGUGCUGGCUUUGCCUCUCUUCCCUUUAGCAUCCCCAGCAGCUGGAAAAGCUGGGAAUGCUGGGAAUGCUGGGAAUGCUGGAAAUGAACUGCUGGAAGUGCUGGAAGUGUGAGUGCCAAGGCACAGAAGCCCCGCUCAGAGCUCCGUGCCUCCGAGCAGAUGUUGCUCCUCCCAGCACCAGCUCUGUGCUGUUCCCCAGAUGUCCCUGACUAAUGAGCAGCUUCUCCGUGCUCCUUCCCCUCCUUCCAGGGGUCAUCCCAGGUCUGGGGUGUUUAAAAAUAUCCAUGGACGCUGCAGCUCAGCACAGCCAAAGUGUUUGGGAAGUUCUGGUCCAGUGGCUGACGGGGAGGUGGAUCUGGGGAGGGUUUUCAGCUCCUUCCUAAAGCUGGAAUGAAGAACAAGAUGCACCACACAUCCCUGACUUUCCUCCAGCAAACUCCACGGGUGCUGCAGCCACAGGAUUCACCCGUCCUGGUGGAGGUGGGAUGAGUUUCCAAGUCAUCCAAUGUGUGAUGGAAAGACCCCAAAUCAUCUCAUGCAGGAUUGAGAGACCCCAAAUCAUCCCAUAUGGGAUGGAGAGAUCCUAAAUCAUCCCAUGCAGGAUGGAGAAUCCCUGAAUCAUCCCAUGCAGGAGGUGGAUGGAGAGAUCCCAAAUCAUUCCAUGUAGGAAGUGGAUGGAGAGUCUCUAAAUCAUCCUAUACAAGAUAGAGAGUCCCCAAAUCAUCCCAUGUGGGAUGGAGAGACCCCAAAUCAUCCCAUGUGGGAUGGAGAGAUACCAAAUCAUCCCAAGCAUGAGAUGGACAGAGAGAUCCCAAAUCAUGCCGUGCAGGAUGCUCCAUCUGGUCUUUUUCCGAGGGAUUUUAGAAGGGGAUGAUCAUCCUGCUCCUGACAUCUGCACUGAUCCCCCUUAUUGGGCUGGGAUGAAACAGAAACCCCUUUACAGGUGACAAAGCCAUGAAAAUAGAUCAGUACCAGAGGUGUGGUGAGGAGACAGGAGCUGGCAGCUCCCGUAAUCCAGGGGGAAACGAGCGUGUGAAUAAUGAAUGGGCACUGGAAAAAUAAAACACAUUAUUGUGGGGAAGAUGGGUCUGGU
rnacentral:lncRNA from 1 species